rnacentral:rRNA from 1 species
AGAAAACCAACAGGGAUUGCCCUAGUAACGGCGAGUGAAGCGGCAACAGCUCAAAUUUGAAAUCUUGGCCGCAAGGCCCGAGUUGUAAUUUGUAGAGGAUGCUUUGGGCGCGGCGCCUUCCGAGUUCCCUGGAACGGGACGCCAUAGAGGGUGAGAGCCCCGUCUGGUUGGAUGCCUAGCCUAUGUAAAGCUCCUUCGACGAGUCGAGUAGUUUGGGAAUGCUGCUCAAAAUGGGAGGUAUAUGUCUUCUAAAGCUAAAUACUGGCCAGAGACCGAUAGCGCACAAGUAGAGUGAUCGAAAGAUGAAAAGCACUUUGAAAAGAGGGUUAAAUAGUACGUGAAAUUGUUCAGAGGGAAGCGCUUCUGACCAGACUUGGGCUCGGUGAAUCAUCCAGCGUUCUCGCUGGUGCACUUUGCCGGUCCAGGCCAACAUCAGUUCGUCGCGGGGGAUAAAGGCUUCGGGAAAGUGGCCCCCUCGGGGGUGUUAUAGACCGUUGUGCAAUACCCUGCGAUGGACUGAGGUUCGCGCUCCGCAAGGAUGUUGGCGUAAUGGUCAUCAGCGACCCGUCUUGAAACACGGACCAAGGAGUCGUCUUCGUAUGCGAGUGUUCGGGUGUCAAACCCCUACGCGUAAUGAAAGUGAACGGAGGUGAGAGCUACGGCGCAUCAUCGACCGAUCCUGAUGUUUUCGGAUGGAUUUGAGUAAGAGCAUACGGGGCCGGACCCGAAAGAAGGUGAACUAUGCCUGUAUAGGGUGAAGCCAGAGGAAACUCUGGUGGAGGCUCGCAGCGGUUCUGACGUGCAAAAUCGAUCGUCAAAAUAUGGGCAUGGGGGCGAAAGA